AAGGCAGAGUAGCGGGACAUGGAUAGGGAUAGGUACCAGGUGAUAUAUAGGUGAAGGUACAGAAGGCAGAGGAGUGUGAUGUGGAUGAGGAUAGUAUAGAGUGAUACCUACGUGAUAUUAGAGAAGGCAGAAGAGAGAGACGUAGAUGAGGAUAGAUAUUGGGUGAUACCUAGGUGACGGUAGAGAAAGCAGAGGAGAGGGACGUGGAUGAGGAUAGGUAUCGGGUGAUACCCAGUUGACAGUAGAGAAGGAAGAGGAGCGGGACAUGGAUAGAGUUAGGUGUGAGUGAUAUGCAGGUGAUGGCAGAAAAGGCAGAGAGGGACGUGGAUGAGGAUAGGUAUCGGGUGAUAUGUAUGUGAAGGUAGAGAAGGCAGAGGAGCGGGACAUGGAUGAGGAUAGGUAUCGGGUGUUACCCAGCUGACGUUAGAGAAGGCAGAAGAGAGGGAUGUGGAUGAGGAUAGGUAUCGGGUGAUACCCAGGUGACAGUAGAGAAGGCAGAGGAGCAGGAUGUGAUGUGGAUAGGUAUCGGGUGAUAUGUAGGUGAAGGUACAGAAGGCAGAGGAGUGGGAUGUGGAUAGGUAUUGUGUGAUACCUAGGUGACGGUAGAGAAGGCAGAGGAGAGAGACGUGAAUGAGGAUAGGUAUCGGGUGAUACCUAGGUGACGGUAGAGAAGGCAGAGGAGAGAGACGUGGGUGAGGCUAGGUAUCGGGUGAUAUGUAGGUGAAGGUAGAGAAGGCAGAGGAGAGGCACGUGGAUGAGGAUAGGUAUCGGGUGAUAUGUAGGUGAAGGUAGAGAAGGCAGAGGAGAGGCACGUGGAUGAGGAUAGCUAUCGGGUGAUAUGUAGGUGAAGGUAGAGAAGGCAGAGGAGAGGCACGUGGAUGAAGAUAAGUAUCGGGUGAUACCUAGGCGUUGGUUGCUGUUCAAGAGUCACUGGACAACUUCAAAAUGUUAUUGAACAGGUAAGUUUUUCCACUGGCCUGCAAGUAACCAGGAAUGUGGCUCUGGUUAGAAAGUGGGUGUUGUAGCCAGGGGACUAUAUUGAUGUUUGCUUGCUUGACCC